GCCGAUGUAGCUCAGUUGGUCAGAGCAGCUGAUUUGUAAUCAGCAGGUCGUGGGUUCGAAUCCCCCCAUCGGCU
rnacentral:tRNA from 1 species